GGCGAACGGGUGAGUAACACGUGGGUGAUCUGCCCUGCACUCUGGGAUAAGCCUGGGAAACUGGGUCUAAUACCGGAUAGGACCAUGCUUUAGUGUGUGUGGUGGAAAGUUUUUCGGUGUAGGAUGAGCUCGCGGCCUAUCAGCUUGUUGGUGGGGUAAUGGCCUACCAAGGCGGCGACGGGUAGCCGGCCUGAGAGGGUGAUCGGCCACAUUGGGACUGAGAUACGGCCCAG
rnacentral:rRNA from 1 species